rnacentral:rRNA from 1 species
GAUGAACGCUGGCGGCGUGCCUAAUACAUGCAAGUCGAGCGAAUGGAUUAAGAGCUUGCUCUUAUGAAGUUAGCGGCGGACGGGUGAGUAACACGUGGGUAACCUGCCCAUAAGACUGGGAUAACUCCGGGAAACCGGGGCUAAUACCGGAUAACAUUUUGAACCGCAUGGUUCGAAAUUGAAAGGCGGCUUCGGCUGUCACUUAUGGAUGGACCCGCGUCGCAUUAGCUAGUUGGUGAGGUAACGGCUCACCAAGGCGACGAUGCGUAGCCGACCUGAGAGGGGGAUCGGCCACACUGGGGCUGAGAACAGGCCCAAACUCCUACGGGAGGCAGCAGUAGGGAAUCUUCCGCGAUGGACGAAAGUGUAGCGGAGCAACGCCGCGUGAGUGAUGAAGGCUUUCGGGUCGUAAAACUCUGUUGUUAGGGAAGAACAAGUGCUAGUUGAAUAAGCUGGCACCUUGACGGUACCUAACCAGAAAGCCACGGCUAACUACGUGCCAGCCGCCGCGGUAA